AGUCGAGCGGGGGAAGGUAGCUUGCUACCGGACCUAGCGGCGGACGGGUGAGUAAUGCUUAGGAAUCUGCCUAUUAGUGGGGGACAACAUCUCGAAAGGGAUGCUAAUACCGCAUACGUCCUACGGGAGAAAGCAGGGGAUCUUCGGACCUUGCGCUAAUAGAUGAGCCUAAGUCGGAUUAGCUAGUUGGUGGGGUAAAGGCCUACCAAGGCGACGAUCUGUAGCGGGUCUGAGAGGAUGAUCCGCCACACUGGGACUGAGACACGGCCCAGACUCCUACGGGAGGCAGCAGUGGGGAAUAUUGGACAAUGGGGGGAACCCUGAUCCAGCCAUGCCGC
rnacentral:rRNA from 1 species